rnacentral:rRNA from 1 species
AUACGGAGGGUGCGAGCGUUAAUCGGAAUUACUGGGCGUAAAGGGUACGUAGGCGGUUAUGUCAGUCAGAUGUGAAAGCCCCGGGCUUAACCUGGGAACUGCAUUUGAUACUGCAUAGCUAGAGUUUGGUAGAGGAGGGCGGAAUUCCCGGUGUAGCGGUGAAAUGCGUAGAGAUCGGGAGGAACACCAGUGGCGAAGGCGGCUCUCUGGACCAAAACUGACGCUGAGGUACGAAAGCGUGGGGAGCAAACAGGAUUAGAAACCCCGGUAGUCC